AUUUUUCCUUCUUUUCCUCCAUUGUACCACUACCUUUGCUCAGACGUCACCAGCUGCAACCCCAGCACAGGCACCAGCUGUAGUUGUAGCACAACCUCCAGCUGCAACCCCGACACAGGCAGCUCAACCACACGGCAUCACAAACGUCACCAAAAUCCUUGAGAAGGCUGGCCAUUUCACGAUCUUUAUUCGCCUUUUGAGAUCCACCCAAGAGGAAAACCACUUAUUCUCCGCACUUAAUGAUUCAAGCUCUGGUGUAACCAUCUUUGCACCAACUGAUAGCGCAUUUUCGGAACUCAAAUCAGGAACUCUCAACACUCUAAGUGAUGGUGACAAGUCUGAGUUGGUGAAGUUCCAUGUAGUUCCUACUUUCUUAUCGACCUCCCAGUUCCAGACCGUAAGUAACCCUCUCGGAACAUGGGCUGGAACAGGUAAUAGGUUACCACUUAAUGUCACAAGUUAUCCAAACUCAGUGAACAUAACCACAGGACUUACCAAUACCAGUUUAUCCGGCACGGUAUACACGGACAACCAGCUAGCCAUUUACAAGAUUGAGAAGGUGCUACUUCCUAAGGACAUUUUUGCUUCAAAGGCUCCAGCUCCAGCACCGGUGGCACCUGCACCAGAAAAGCCUACAAAGGCAGUUCCUGCAGCAACCGUAGAGAGUCCCGUGGCCCCUGUGGAUACAUCUAGUGCACUUAUGUUCACACAAAAUCAUGUGGUG
rnacentral:lncRNA from 1 species